AGAGUUUGAUCCUGGCUCAGGACGAACGCUGGCGGCGUGCCUAAUACAUGCAAGUCGAACGCUUCUUUCCUCCCGAGUGCUUGCACUCAAUUGGAAAGAGGAGUGGCGGACGGGUGAGUAACACGUGGGUAACCUACCCAUCAGAGGGGGAUAACACUUGGAAACAGGUGCUAAUACCGCAUAACAGUUUAUGCCGCAUGGCAUAAGAGUGAAAGGCGCUUUCGGGUGUCGCUGAUGGAUGGACCCGCGGUGCAUUAGCUAGUUGGUGAGGUAACGGCUCACCAAGGCCACGAUGCAUAGCCGACCUGAGAGGGUGAUCGGCCACACUGGGACUGAGACACGGCCCAGACUCCUACGGGAGGCAGCAGUAGGGAAUCUUCGGCAAUGGACGAAAGUCUGACCGAGCAACGCCGCGUGAGUGAAGAAGGUUUUCGGAUCGUAAAACUCUGUUGUUAGAGAAGAACAAGGACGUUAGUAACUGAACGUCCCCUGACGGUAUCUAACCAGAAAGCCACGGCUAACUACGUGCCAGCAGCCGCGGUAAUACGUAGGUGGCAAGCGUUGUCCGGAUUUAUUGGGCGUAAAGCGAGCGCAGGCGGUUUCUUAAGUCUGAUGUGAAAGCCCCCGGCUCAACCGGGGAGGGUCAUUGGAAACUGGGAGACUUGAGUGCAGAAGAGGAGAGUGGAAUUCCAUGUGUAGCGGUGAAAUGCGUAGAUAUAUGGAGGAACACCAGUGGCGAAGGCGGCUCUCUGGUCUGUAACUGACGCUGAGGCUCGAAAGCGUGGGGAGCAAACAGGAUUAGAUACCCUGGUAGUCCACGCCGUAAACGAUGAGUGCUAAGUGUUGGAGGGUUUCCGCCCUUCAGUGCUGCAGCAAACGCAUUAAGCACUCCGCCUGGGGAGUACGACCGCAAGGUUGAAACUCAAAGGAAUUGACGGGGGCCCGCACAA
rnacentral:rRNA from 1 species